AAGGAUAACUCAGAAUUGAACCAAGAAAAUUUUGGGAUGAUGUCAGAAAAUACGAGUACAACGCCAUCAAAUAACGCAUUUUCAACUAGAAUACAACCUGGACCAACAAAUUCAGAUUCCUAGACAGGCAGUUAAAGCGAUCUCCAAUCAAAUUCAAAGAUAUCAGCGCAAGCACCCACGGCAUCUGGGUUAACCCAUUCUUCACAUAGGUA